rnacentral:rRNA from 1 species
UACCAUGCAGUCGAGCGCCCCGCAAGGGGAGCGGCAGACGGGUGAGUAACGCGUGGGAAUCUACCCAGCCCUACGGAAUAACCCAGGGAAACUUGGACUAAUACCGUAUACGUCCGAUAGGAGAAAGAUUUAUCGGGGUUGGAUGAGCCCGCGUUGGAUUAGCUAGUUGGUGGGGUAAAGGCCUACCAAGGCGACGAUCCAUAGCUGGUCUGAGAGGAUGAUCAGCCACACUGGGACUGAGACACGGCCCAGACUCCUACGGGAGGCAGCAGUGGGGAAUAUUGGACAAUGGGCGAAAGCCUGAUCCAGCCAUGCCGCGUGAGUGAUGAAGGCCCUAGGGUUGUAAAGCUCUUUCAACGGUGAAGAUAAUGACGGUAACCGUAGAAGAAGCCCCGGCUAACUUCGUGCCAGCAC